AACGUUGGUCAUCUUAUAUUCAUCGUCCCAGAGUCGCUGUCCGGAAAAGCCGUCUGGGCAAACUUAAGAAGUGUGUGGACAGGUUAAAAUCAGCAACAUUGCUGGAAAUUGAUUUUUCAGCCCCCGAAAAGCCGAAAAACAGGUUGAUAUACAGAGAGUAUACACUGGUAGACAUUAUUAAUAUGCCUUGAAUACUUGGAAAACGUGUCCAGGCAAUGGAGAACUCAAAAAUACAAAGUUUUGAUUGAAAUCGCAGGUUUGGGAGAGCAAAAACCGUCAAUAUACACAGCAUAUACAUCAAAUAUACACUCAAGGUGUAUCAUGAUUUUGAAGGAAAUAGGCUCAAAGGCCCUGAAAAUUGCAGCGGCAGUAUUUGGGCCUAAGGCCCAAAUUUGAUAUCUCCACUCUUUCUUAUUUAUUUAU
rnacentral:misc_RNA from 1 species